AGUGGCAGACGGGUGAGUAAUGUAUAGGAAUCUACCUAGUAGUACGGAAUAAUUGUUGGAAACGGCAACUAAUACCGUAUACGCCCUACGGGGGAAAGAUUUAUCGCUAUUAGAUGAGCCUAUAUUAGAUUAGCUAGUUGGUGAGGUAAAGGCUUACCAAGACAAUGAUCUAUAGCUGAUCUGAGAGGAUGAUCAGUCACACUGGAACUGAGAUACGGUCCAGACUCCUACGGGAGGCAGCAGUGGGGAAUAUUGGACAAUGGGCGAAAGCCUGAUCCAGCCAUGCCGCAUGAGUGAAGAAGGCCUUUGGGUUGUAAAGCUCUUUCGGUGAGGAAGAUAAUGACGGUACUCACAGAAGAAGUCCUGGCUAACUCCGUGCCAGCAGCCGCGGUAAUACGGAGAGGGCUAGCGUUAUUCGGAAUUAUUGGGCGUAAAGAGCGCGUAGGCUGGUUAGUAAGUUAAAAGUGAAAUCCCAAAGCUCAACUUUGGAAUUGCUUUUAAAACUGCUAACCUAGAGAUUGAAAGAGGAUAGAGGAAUUCCUAGUGUAGAGGUGAAAUUCGUAAAUAUUANGAGGAACACCAGUGGCGAA
rnacentral:rRNA from 1 species